rnacentral:rRNA from 1 species
CCUUGUACACACCGCCCGUCAAGCCACGGGAGCCGGUAGUGCCCGAAGUCGCUGACCCAACCCGCAAGGGAGGGAGGCGCCUACGGUAAGACCGGUGACUGGGACU